GGGUCUUGUACACACCGCCCGUCACACCACGAGAGUUUGUAACACCCGAAGCCGGUGGAGUAACCUUUUAGGAGCUAGCCGUCGAAGGUGGGACAAAUGAUUGGGGUGAAGUCGUAACAAGGUAGCCGUAUCGGAAGGUGCGGCUGGAUCACCUCCUUU
rnacentral:rRNA from 1 species